rnacentral:rRNA from 1 species
GUGGGGAAUAUUGGACAAUGGGGGGAACCCUGAUCCAGCCAUGCCGCGUGAGUGAUGAAGGCCCUAGGGUUGUAAAGCUCUUUCACCGGUGAAGAUAAUGACGGUAACCGGAGAAGAAGCCCCGGCUAACUUCGUGCCAGCAGCCGCGGUAAUACGAAGGGGGCUAGCGUUGUUCGGAAUUACUGGGCGUAAAGCGCACGUAGGCGGACAUUUAAGUCAGGGGUGAAAUCCCGGGGCUCAACCCCGGAACUGCCUUUGAUACUGGGUGUGUGGAGUAUGGAAGAGGUAAGUGGAAUUCCGAGUGUAGAGGUGAAAUUCGUAGAUAUUCGGAGGAACACCAGUGGCGAAGGCGGCUUACUGGUCCAUUACUGACGCUGAGGUGCGAAAGCGUGGGGAGCAAACAGGAUUAGAAAUCCCUGUAGUCC